GAACGCUGUGCGGCGGUCGCGCCGGGGUUUUCCCCGUCGAGGAAAGUCCGAGCACGGCAGGGCAGGGUGGUGGAUAACGUCCACCCGUCGGGGGCGGUCCUCGGCGAGGGAAAGUGCAACAGAAAGCACACCGCCGAUGGCCUCGGUUCGCCGGGGCACAGGCAAGGGUGAAAUGGUGCGGUAAGAGCGCACCGCGUUCCUGGUGACAGGGGCGGCAAGGCAAACCCCACCCCGUGCAAGCCCAAGCAGCCCUCCGGGCGAAAGCCCGCCGCUGGUCCGGCGGUCGUGAGGGCGGGUCGGGUGCUCGGGUGCGCAAGCACCCGGACCGCGUCGGCAACGGCGCGGCGAGAGAAAUGGCCGCCAUCGCACGCCAGGCGGAUCCCCGAGCCCCCGUCAAGGCGGGGUCCGAACCGGCGUGCGAGACAGAACUCGGCUUACCCGCAGCGUUCGACC
rnacentral:RNase_P_RNA from 1 species